rnacentral:tRNA from 1 species
CUCCCUGUGGCUCAGUUGGUAGAGCAUGGUGUGUGCAACACCAGGGUUGUGGGUUCGAUUCCCACAGGGGGC